rnacentral:rRNA from 1 species
UACGUAGGGGGCUAGCGUUGUCCGGAAUCAUUGGGCGUAAAGCGCGUGUAGGCGGUCCGGUGAGUCCGCUGUGAAAGUCGGGGGCUCAACCCUCGGAUGCCGGUGGAUACUGUCGGGCUUGAGUACGGAAGAGGCGAGUGGAAUUCCUGGUGUAGCGGUGAAAUGCGCAGAUAUCAGGAGGAACACCAAUUGCGAAGGCAGCUCGCUGGGACGUUACUGACGCUGAGACGCGAAAGCGUGGGGAGCAAACAGG